GCUGGGCGUUGUGGUGGGCGCCUGUAGUCCCGGCUACUUGGGAGGCUGAGGCAAGAGAAUUGCUUAAGCCCAACAGUUUGAGGGUGCUGUGAGCUAUGAUGCCACAGCAUUCUACCCAGGGUGACAGUGAGACUCUGUCUCAAAAAAAAAAAAAUAGUAAUAAAAAAGAUGGAGAAGAUCAUUAAUUAAAUUAUUUUUUUUUUUUUUUGAGACAGUCUCAAGCUGUCAUCCUGGGUGGAGUGCCAUGGCGUCAUAGCUCACAACAACCUCAAACUCUUGGGCUCAAGUGAUCCUCUUGCCUCAG
rnacentral:SRP_RNA from 1 species